rnacentral:rRNA from 1 species
GAUGAACGCUGGCGGCGUGCCUAAUACAUGCAAGUCGAGCGAACAGACGCGGCGCUUGCUCCUCUGACGUUAGCGGCGGACGGGAGAGUAACACGUGGAUAACCUACCUAUAAGACUGGGAUAACUUCGGGAAACCGGAGCUAAUACCGGAUAAUAUAUUGAACCGCAUGGUUCAAUAGUGAAAGACGGUUUUGCUGUCACUUAUAGCUGGAUCUCGGCCGCAUUAGCUAGUUGGUACGGUAACGGCUUACCAAGGCAAGUAUGCGUAGCCGAGCUGAUAGGGUGAUCGGCCACACGGGAACGUAGACACGGUCCAGACGCCUACGGGAGGCAGCAGUAGGGAAUCUUCCGCAAUGGGCGAAAGCUUGACGGAGCAACGCCGAGUGAGUGAUGAAGGUCCUCCGAGCGUAAAACUCUGUUAUUAGGGAAGAACAAAUGUGUAAGUAACUAUGCACGUCUUGACGGUACCUAGUCAGAAAGCCACGGCUAACUACGUG